rnacentral:rRNA from 1 species
UUAUGGCUCAGGAUGAACGCUGGCGGCGUGCUUAACACAUGCAAGUCGAACGGGAAUUACUUUUAGCUUGCUAAGUUGUAAGUUCUAGUGGGCGGACGGGGUGAGUAACGCGUGGGUAACCUGCCUUAUACCGGGGGACAACAGUUGGAAACGGCUGCUAAUACCGCAUAAGCGCACAGUCUCGCAUGAGACAGUGUGAAAAAACUCCGGUGGUAUAAGAUGGACCCGCGUCUGAUUAGCCAGUUGGCGGUGUAACGGACCACCAAAGCGACGAUCAGUAGCCGGCCUGAGAGGGUGAACGGCCACAUUGGGACUGAGACACGGCCCAAACUCCUACGGGAGGCAGCAGUGGGGAAUAUUGCACAAUGGAGGAAACUCUGAUGCAAGCGACGCCGCGUGAGUGAAGAAGUAUUUCGGUAUGUAAAGCUCUAUCAGCAGGAAAGAAAAUGACGGUACCUGACUAAGAAGCCCCGGCUAACUACGUGCCAGCAGCUGC